rfam:Triticum aestivum genome assembly, contig: Triticum_aestivum_CS42_TGACv1_scaffold_435679_5DL
CACGUACUUCCUUCGUUCGGAAUUACUUGUCAUAAAAAUGAAUGUAUAUACAACUACAAUACAUCUAGAUACAUUUAUUUCUUGGACGAGUAAUUCCGAACGAAGGGAGUACAUA